rfam:Lachnoclostridium sp. An196 An196_contig_4, whole genome shotgun sequence.
GGCAUUGUUCGGUAGGUAAGGCUACUGCAGGGAUAUGGGCUGUUGCCGCGAAAUGGUGGAGACACCAUGAGCUGGUUUGAACAGGGUACAUCGAAAGCAAGGUGUAUCAUAAUACAGUUUCACCGCCCUGCAAAGUUAAAGCUCAGACGAAUGAAGAGAAGU